rnacentral:rRNA from 1 species
AGCAGCCGCGGUAAUUCCAGCUCCAAUAGCGUAUAUUAAAGUUGUUGCAGUUAAAAAGCUCGUAGUUGAAUUUCGGGACCAUCAUGUCGGUCGUGCCUCGGUACGUACUGGCAUUGUUGGUUUCUCCCUUCUGACGGACCAUGAUGUCAUUUAUUUGGUGUUGUGGGGAAUCAGGACUGUUACUUUGAAAAAAUUAGAGUGUUUAAAGCAGGCUCACGCUUGAAUACAUUAGCAUGGAAUAAUGAAAUAGGACGUUCGAUCCUAUUUUGUUGGUUUCUAGGAUUGACGUAAUGAUUAAUAGGGAUAGUUGGGGGCAUUAGUAUUCAAUUGUCAGAGGUGAAAUUCUUGGAUUUAUUGAAGACUAACUACUGCGAAAGCAUUUGCCAAGGAUGUUUUCAUUAAUCAAGAACGAAAGUUAGGGGAUCGAAGACGAUCAGAUACCGUCGUAGUCUUAACCAUAAACUAUGCCGACUAGGGAUCGGCGGAUGUUGCUUUAAGGACUCCGCCGGCACCUUAUGAGAAACCAAAGUGUUUGGGUU